rnacentral:rRNA from 1 species
UACGUAGGGUGCGAGCGUUAAUCGGAAUUACUGGGCGUAAAGCGUGCGCAGGCGGUUCGUUGUGUCUGAUGUGAAAGCCCCGGGCUCAACCUGGGAAUGGCAUUGGAAACUGGCGAGCUAGAGUGUGGCAGAGGGGGGUGGAAUUCCGCGUGUAGCAGUGAGAUGCGUAGAGAUGCGGAGGAACACCGAUGGCGAAGGCAGCCCCCUGGGCUGACACUGACGCUCAGGCACGAAAGCGUGGGGAGCAAACAGG